rnacentral:rRNA from 1 species
AAAAUGGGAUUAGAUACCCCACUAUGCUUAGCAGUAAACCCAGGCGGCCUUAAAGCCAGCCCGCCCGCCAGAGUACUACAAGUGAAAAACUUAAAACUCAAAGGACUUGACGGUGUCCCACAUCAGCCUAGAGGAGCCUGUCCCAUAAUCGAUGACCCGCGUUCAACCUUGCCCGCCCUUGUAGCCCCCAGCCUAUAUACCGCCGUCCUCAGCCAACCUUACAAAAGCCCCAACAGUUGGCCCAAUAGCCCCCACUAAAACGUCAGGUCAAGGUGUAGCUUACGGGCGGGAGAAGAUGGGCUACAUUUUCUGCAACAGAACCCCCCGACCAGCGCUAUGAAACUGCGCACGAAGCUGGAUUUAGCAGUAAAUCGGACAAGACCUGUCCAAUUGAACCCUGCCCUGGGACGCGUACACACCGCCCGUC